GAUACUCGUACAAAAACGUCAUAAAGCUGAAAUAUUAAUCCUAGCAUGGCGAUAUUUAAGCUUAGUUUCGUUAUCACUAUUCUUAUCAUUGCAGUCACUAUCAAUGUGUCGGGAUUUUCAAAUAAUCAAGUCGAAGCAACACCAGAUGUUGACCAUGUUCUUUCAGAAUUUACGAAGAGAUUGCUCCCACAACUGAAUACUUGUUUUAGAUCUUGUACUUCGAACAGUGAUUGCAGUGAUUGUUGGGUUUGUUGUGCUUGUAAAUACGCGGUGCUAGGUGGCUACAUGUGUGAUUUGAAUUAGUGUCGAAUGGCAAACGCUCUCCUAUUAUGUGCAUUAGUGUGUUCUUGUGAUUUUAACGUUUUUAUUUGUCUUUUUCUCAUUUCUUUGUCUUUUGUGCUUUGUAAAAGUAAUAAAAGAAGUCAUGAAUGACUUUCUAUAUCGAUACAAUAAUCGAUAAAUGUAUCUUUUGUACGUUGUAAAAGUAAUACAAAAUGUUUAUCGCAUAUGUGUAACCUACGUAAGGUUCUUCUUCUUGUUCA